rnacentral:rRNA from 1 species
UCGAGCGGACAGAAGGGAGCUUGCUCCCGGAUGUUAGCGGCGGACGGGUGAGUAACACGUGGGUAACCUGCCUGUAAGACUGGGAUAACUCCGGGAAACCGGAGCUAAUACCGGAUAGUUCCUUGAACCGCAUGGUUCAAGGAUGAAAGACGGUUUCGGCUGUCACUUACAGAUGGACCCGCGGCGCAUUAGCUAGUUGGUGAGGUAACGGCUCACCAAGGCGACGAUGCGUAGCCGACCUGAGAGGGUGAUCGGCCACACUGGGACUGAGACACGGCCCAGACUCAUACGGGAGGCAGCAGUAGGGAAUCUUCCGCAAUGGACGAAAGUCUGACGGAGCAACGCCGCGUGAGUGAUGAAGGUUUUCGGAUCGUAAAGCUCUGUUGUUAGGGAAGAACAAGUGCAAGAGUAACUGCUUGCACCUUGACGGUACCUAACCAGAAAGCCACGGCUAACUACGUGCCAGCAGCCGCGGUAAUACGUAGGUGGCAAGCGUUGUCCGGAAUUAUUGGGCGUAAAGGGCUCGCAGGCGGUUUCUUAAGUCUGAUGUGAAAGCCCCCGGCUCAACCGGGGAGGGUCAUUGGAAACUGGGAAACUUGAGUGCAGAAGAGGAGAGUGGAAUUCCACGUGUAGCGGUGAAAUGCGUAGAGAUGUGGAGGAACACCAGUGGCGAAGGCGACUCUCUGGUCUGUAACUGACGCUGAGGAGCGAAAGCGUGGGGAGCGAACAGGAUUAGAUACCCUGGUAGUCCAC